GUCAAAUAUAACGAAGUCCAGUCAUAACCCAUUAAAGAUGAAAUGGAGAAGUUUGUCAACAUCCAGACCAGAGAAGGUUGUCGGAAAACCAUAUUCAGCAUCCCUAGUUCUGUCACAAUCAAGUUGAUAGCACUAAAGAAAUGGAUGGGUAGAUCUUUCUAUCAAAGGGGAAAAGGAAAAUACUCCAACAAUUGUCAGAGCAGCAAGUUGUGUCACCCUCUGUAUUUACCUCCAUGCUUACUUGAAGCUCUGAUCUUGCAAAUCGCCUGCACAACUUCA
rnacentral:misc_RNA from 1 species